rnacentral:lncRNA from 1 species
CGCGCACGCAGGGUGCAGAGUGGGGCGCAUUCGGGACUGCGCAGCCCGCGUGGCACCGCCUCCGCCGGCUGCCGCGGGACUCCGGUGGAGCUGGGGUGCGCAACGCCGGCUGUAGCCGGCGACGGCUAGGUCAAGCCCCCACCCCGGCUCCUCUUCUCCUCUCUCCUCCGACCAUCUCCGCGGGACUCCCCGGCAGCCGGCGCCCAGCACGGGGAGCUGGCCGGAGAGGUCUCUGGGUCUGAUGGCUUCGGGAGGCCGGAACUCACCGGGACCGGGACCAGGACCGGGACUGGACCUAGCAGAGCCCUGCGCGGGGGAGGAGGGUCGGGAUGACACACGGCGGGCCGGGACACCCGACCUCUGGCGCCUGGCAGCCAUCACUGAAGAUGAUGCUUCAUUAACCCCAAGUCUGAAGAUCAACUCAGAAACUUAG